GAUGCUCAACAUUAAUGACAUCAACUAAUCAAUCCAGAAUCCGAACCCUUCUCGAUUAGACCUGAAUUGACCCACAACUAGCUCAUCUUAAUCCUCUCCACGUGUCCUACGUGAUGUUGUACCCUGAGAGAUCUGAAAAGCUGCUAGAAAGAGCGUGAGUUGGCUCGUAUAACGACUAUAUUCCAAGAUUUCAGGAUUUUGGUACAGAUUAGGUACAUACUUGGUCGUCUUUCAUUGGUUAGAAAAGGGGAUUCGGUAUUCUACAUUUUUAUUGGUCCACCAGUUGCCAUUUUGGGGAAAAAUCCAAAGAAUUUGGUACAAAAAGGGUACGGACUGCUGGAGGGUAGCGGGAUCUGGGUGGAAAUUUGGAGUUUCUCCCUCUUUUUGAAAUCCCUAGGGAAACCCUAAUUCGACUCCUAUAAAAGGGUUCCUGGGGUCACUGUUGAGGGGGUCUUUUUUUUUUCUCUUCUUGGAAGGGUCCGGAAUUCUGGUGGAGGAAAUUCUAGGGUUUUCUUUCAGGAGGGAGAACUUGGGUUAGAGAUGAAGUUUUCAAAAAAAAUCGAGAAAGAAAUUUUAGGCUGGUUAGAAAAGCUGUUUUUGAAAAUAUGGGUUGGGCACUCUAAAAUUAAGGAGUUUAUUGUCACGAAGAAUUUCUCAUCCACUAUGUCUGGGAAAGCUAUUCGAUCAAUGGGAAGUUUCCCGAGGCGACAACAUUAGCUCCUAGUGGGGACAAUUUUGCUGAUAGCUCGAGUCCCGUUUGCUGCUCCUUGAAAGACUCUUUCCCGUAAUUACGUUAUCGAUGUGAGCCAUUGAGGCUCCUUCCUUCUGAGUCGAUCUCGAAGAUGAUCUCGUAAUACAAAUGCAAGGACUUGAUAGAAGAAAGUAUGGGCUAAACCCCAUUGAUUGAAGCGGCAAAGGAGGACUUGAAAGCUAUCAUUUUUAUUUAUUUACAUCGUCGCCUUUAGUUAUUUAUUGAUUUGUUUGUUUAUUUCUUUAUUUCAUUCAUUUGGGGCCUCGAAGCCAAAGUUGUAUUUAAUACAGGUGAAGCGAGAUUUGAGCCAAACGCUCGAAAACUAGAUUAGGACAGGUGAAAAUGGGUCGAAAGCCCAAUAAGACUAGGACAGGUUUCAUUGAUUUGGGCCCAAUGGCCUAAAUCACUACUUCUCCCCUUUCUCUUUUUCCUUUUGCUUACUUGUUUUACGUAUUUUCUUGCGAAGCUAGUUAAAUCCCAAACUAAGUCGCUAAAAGACUGAUUUUGCAAAAACUCUUUCCUUAAUCAACUAUUUUUCCAACAAAUUGAUUUUCCGAAGUUAAUCAAAAGAUUGUUUUCAAACAGAUUGGAUAACCGCAAGUUAGCAGACGUUUUAGGUGCCUAACACCUUCCUAAAAUGUUAAUAGGAACCGCUUACUCAGAAUCUCUUAACUCAAAACAAUUUUUCUAUUUUGAAUCGUUUGAAGUAAUUCUCUAAAGGUUUCUUAUUUCCUUUUCAAAAUUAAGUGGCGACUCUCUUCUUUAUGUCAAAAUUUCCGCAAAACGCUGAUAAUGCCUUUGAACUAGGGGAAGUUACCUUGUAAACAAUUUUUUUUUGACCAUGGAAUUCUACAUCAAACCACUAUACCUCAUACCCCUCAACAAAAUGGAGUCGUUGAAAGAAAACACAAAUACUUGCUUAAGGUUUCUAAAUCUCUUUUGUUUCAAUCUAGUUUGCCUAAAAAAUACUGGGGUGAAUCUGUUUUAAUAGCCAUAUACCUUAUCCACAGACUGCCCUCCUCUGUAUUACAAAAAUAUAUCUCCUAUUGAAAAGUUUUUUGGUCAUUCCCCAUCUUAUAAACAUCAUCAUUCUUUUGGAUGCCUCUGUUAUCCAUCUUCUACCCAACUUGGAAAGGAUAGGUUUACAUCUAGAUCUGUUCCAGCCAUAUUUCUUGGCUAUCCAUAUGUUAAGAAGGCAUACAAACUUCUUAUCCUUUCUUCUCAUUCAAUUAUUUUACUCCAUGGAUGUCAUUUUUUAUGAACAUGUCUUUCCUUACCUUUCUCCUUCUCCUCCUUCUUCCUCCUCCUCUUCUUUUCCUCCUGCUAUCCCUUUUGUUGAUAUUCCUUCCUUUGCUUCCACUCCUAUUUCUCCAGUUCCACUUGUUCCAGCUUCUUUACUUGAUCCACCUAUUCCUAUCCCACCUAAUCCACC